CCCAAUAUGUUGCCUUUAUCUGCAUUUGCACCUGCGCUUUGUUUGGUUUCUGUGGAACAUAACAAGAGUAGGUAAGAACAAGGAGUAAGUAAACUUACCAGGCACAAGGUGCAGGUGCAUCUGCAGUUGAAUGCCAUAUUGGU
rnacentral:pre_miRNA from 1 species